rnacentral:rRNA from 1 species
UACAGAGGUCCCGAGCGUUGUUCGGAUUCACUGGGCGUAAAGGGUGCGUAGGUGGCCUGAAAAGUUUGAUGUGAAAGCUCAGGGCUUAACCCUGAAAUGGCAUUGAAUACUGUCGGGCUGGAGGUUUGGAGGGGGGACUGGAAUUCUUGGUGUAGCAGUGAAAUGCGUAGAUAUCAAGAGGAAUACCAGUGGCGAAGGCGAGUCCCUGGACAACACCUGACACUGAGGCACGAAAGCUAGGGGAGCAAACAGG